GUGAGUCAUCGAAUCUUUGAACGCAUAUUGCGCUCUUUGGUAUUCCGAAGAGCAUGCUUGUUUGAGUAUCAGUAAACACCUCAAAGCUUUUGGAUUUUUUUUGAAAGCUUUGGACUUGAGCAAUCCCAACACCAAUCUUUUUCAGAUCGGCGGCGGGUUGCUUGAAAUGCAGGUGCAGCUGGACAUUCUCCUGAGCUAAAAGCAUAUUCAUUUAGUCCCGUCAAACGGAUUAUUACUUUUGCUGCAGCUAACAUAAAGGGAGUUUGACCGCAUUGGCUGACUGAUGCAGGAUUUUACAAGGGUCGGCAACGAUUCUUGUUAAACUCGAUCUCAAAUCAAGUAAGACUACCCGCUGAACUUAAGCAUAUCAAUAAGCGGAGGA
rnacentral:misc_RNA from 1 species